CCUUUAGGAUUCUGCUCUGGGUAUAAACAUACGGCACUCCAAACAUGAUAACGGCACGACCAUAAUGAUGAACUGGUGUUUGAAAAGAAAAACUGAUGAACAAACUUUGAUUAAAACAAGAAAAAGUAUUGCCGUAAGGGUCAGAAAGAUCAAUUUAAUUUAAAAGGGAGAACAAGAUUAUUUUCCUGACCCCCAUUAGCAGAUUUAUUGUUUUUUGUUUAGCACCAUAUUCUUAAUUUUGCAUCUCUAGUAAAUUUAUCUUGAUUUAAGAAUAAUUUAAAUAUUUGUACAGGGAAAAAAAAAUGUUAUGCCAUGAGUGUAAAACUUUCUGCUCCGAUUUAAGACCUUUCUAAGACCUUAAUUUAUGGAAAGGCGAAUUAAUACUUUUUAAGACCAUGUAGAAAACCUGUAUAAAGUAACUUUGCAAAACUGUUAAAGGAACUAGUAUCCACCAAAGUCAAUGCCCUCUGA